AUCGUGGAUCUUCUCAUUCGUUACAAAAUCUCAUGUUCGCAUCGGAGGUGUGGGAUUCGUUCAGUUGCGUGACGUCACCAUCAAAAUCUCGUGGCUCUCCAUUCACAUUGACGUAAUCUCGUUGUCGAGGGAUCGAGCUCAUCCGACACGCUUU
ensembl:ncRNA F31C3.17 ncRNA